rnacentral:rRNA from 1 species
AUUGAACGCUGGCGGCAUGCUUUACACAUGCAAGUCGAACGGCCGCGCGGGCUUCGGCCUGGCGGCGCGUGGCGAACGGGUGAGUAAUGCAUAGGAACGUGCCCAGCAGUGGGGGAUAGCCCGGCGAAGGCCGGAUUAAUAUCGCAUACGACCUGAGGGUGAAAGCGGGGGACCGAAAGGCCUCGCGCUAUUGGAGGGGCCGAUGUCGGAUUAGCUAGUUGGUGGGGUAAAGGCUUACCAAGGCGACGAUCCGUAGCUGGUCUGAGAGGACGACCAGCCACACUGGGACUGAGACACGGCCCAGACUCCUACGGGAGGCAGCAGUGGGGAAUUUUGGACAAUGGGGGCAACCCUGACCCAGCCAUGCCGCGUGCGGGAAGAAGGCCUUCGGGUCGUAAACCGCUUUUGUUCGGGAAGAAAUCCUCUGGGCUAAUACCCCGGGGGGAUGACGGUACCGGAAGAAUAAGCACCGGCUAACUACGUG